rnacentral:rRNA from 1 species
AUUGAACGCUGGCGGCAGGCCUAACACAUGCAAGUCGAGCGGAUGAAGGGAGCUUGCUCCUGGAUUCAGCGGCGGACGGGUGAGUAAUGCCUAGGAAUCUGCCUGGUAGUGGGGGAUAACGUCCGGAAACGGGCGCUAAUACCGCAUACGUCCCGAGGGAGAAAGUGGGGGAUCUUCGGACCUCACGCUAUCAGAUGAGCCUAGGUCGGAUUAGCUAGUUGGUGGGGUAAAGGCCUACCAAGGCGACGAUCCGUAACUGGUCUGAGAGGAUGAUCAGUCACACUGGAACUGAGACACGGUCCAGACUCCUACGGGAGGCAGCAGUGGGGAAUAUUGGACAAAGGGCGAAAGCCUGAUCCGGCCAUGCCGCGUGUGUGAAGAAGGUCUUCGGAUUGUAAAGCGCUUUAAGUUGGGAGGAAGGGCAGUAAGUUAAUACCUUGCUGUUUUGACGUUACCAACAGAAUAAGCACCGGCUAACUUCGUG